rnacentral:rRNA from 1 species
CAGUCGCCACGGUAAUACGGAGGGUGCAAGCGUUAUCCGGAUUUAUUGGGUUUAAAGGGUCCGUAGGCGGAUCUGUAAGUCAGUGGUGAAAUCUCACAGCUUAACUGUGAAACUGCCAUUGAUACUGCAGGUCUUGAGUAAAUUUGAAGUGGCUGGAAUAAGUAGUGUAGCGGUGAAAUGCAUAGAUAUUACUUAGAACACCAAUUGCGAAGGCAGGUCACUAAGAUUUAACUGACGCUGAUGGACGAAAGCGUGGGGAGCGAACAGGAUUAGAUACCCCUGUAGUCCCUGUCUCUUAUAC